rnacentral:rRNA from 1 species
GACGAACGCUGGCGGCGUGCCUAAUACAUGCAAGUAGAACGCUGAAGAGAGGAGCUUGCUCUUCUUGGAUGAGUUGCGAACGGGUGAGUAACGCGUAGGUAACCUGCCUUGUAGCGGGGGAUAACUAUUGGAAACGAUAGCUAAUACCGCAUAACAAUGGAUGACACAUGUCAUUUAUUUGAAAGGGGCAAUUGCUCCACUACAAGAUGGACCUGCGUUGUAUUAGCUAGUAGGUGAGGUAACGGCUCACCUAGGCGACGAUACAUAGCCGACCUGAGAGGGUGAUCGGCCACACUGGGACUGAGACACGGCCCAGACUCCUACGGGAGGCAGCAGUAGGGAAUCUUCGGCAAUGGGGGCAACCCUGACCGAGCAACGCCGCGUGAGUGAAGAAGGUUUUCGGAUCGUAAAGCUCUGUUGUAAGUCAAGAACGAGUGUGAGAGUGGAAAGUUCACACUGUGACGGUAGCUUACCAGAAAGGGACGGCUAACUACGUGCCAGCAGCCGCGGUAAUACGUAGGUCCCGAGCGUUGUCCGGAUUUAUUGGGCGUAAAGCGAGCGCAGGCGGUUUGAUAAGUCUGAAGUUAAAGGCUGUGGCUCAACCAUAGUUCGCUUUGGAAACUGUCAAACUUGGGUGCAGAAGGGGAGAGUGGAAUUCCAUGUGUAGCGGUGAAAUGCGUAGAUAUAUGGAGGAACACCGGUGGCGAAAGCGGCUCUCUGGUCUGUAACUGACGCUGAGGCUCGAAAGCGUGGGGAGCGAACAGGAUUAGAUACCCUGGUAGUCCACGCCGUAAACGAUGAGUGCUAGGUGUUGGAUCCUUUCCGGGAUUCAGUGCCGCAGCUAACGCAUUAAGCACUCCGCCUGGGGAGUACGACCGCAAGGUUGAAACUCAAAGGAAUUGACGGGGGCCCGCACAAGCGGUGGAGCAUGUGGUUUAAUUCGAAGCAACGCGAAGAACCUUACCAGGUCUUGACACCCCGAUGCUAUUUCUAGAGAUAGAAAGUUACUUCGGUACAUCGGUGACAGGUGGUGCAUGGUUGUCGUCAGCUCGUGUCGUGAGAUGUUGGGUUAAGUCCCGCAACGAGCGCAACCCCUAUUGUUAGUUGCCAUCAUUCAGUUGGGCACUCUAGCGAGACUGCCGGUAAUAAACCGGAGGAAGGCGGGGAUGACGUCAAAUCAUCAUGCCCCUUAUGACCUGGGCUACACACGUGCUACAAUGGUUGGUACAACGAGUUGCGAGUCGGUGACGGCAAGCUAAUCUCUUAAAGCCAAUCUCAGUUCGGAUUGUAGGCUGCAACUCGCCUACAUGAAGUCGGAAUCGCUAGUAAUCGCGGAUCAGCACGCCGCGGUGAAUACGUUCCCGGGCCU